rnacentral:tRNA from 1 species
GGACUCGUGGUCUAGGUGGUUAUGACGCCAGCCUUACAUGCUGGAGGUCAGGGGUUCGAAUCCCUUCGGGUCCAC